CAGGCAUCCAGUCUCUGCAUGGCAUUGUGGGGUCCAGGCCACCUCCUUUUCCGAGUGGUGCAAUGCUGGUCCUUGUGGGCCACUGUCUCUUCCGCUGGAAUCCUGAGCCUCCCAAAAUGGUGUGAGCUCUGCUCCCCAGCCACCCUGAGGACAGCACGCAAGUGGUCACGAGUGCUGGAAAGAACACGUCGGAACUAAAGCGUCCUGUAGCCCUGGCUGGCAAGGAAGACAGGGCCUCUGGACACAGUUUCUAUCCCUGCCCAGGACCAGGCCAGCAGCUCAGUGGCCAUCAGCUAACCAGGUCCCUCUUGCUCCCAAGCAUAACAAGAGCCUCCUGUGCUCAUGACAAUCAGUUAUAACUUUUCAAAUGACAAAAUAUUGUUUUUCAAAGAGAGAUCAGCAUCCAGCAGCUUUUCUGAAGGCAUUGAAUUGUGUAUUUCUUUAUGCUGAAUGCUGAUGUGCCUGCCUGUACAGCCUUUAUUGAAGAAUUCGAU
rnacentral:lncRNA from 1 species